GUGGGGAAUUUUGGACAAUGGGCGAAAGCCUGAUCCAGCAAUGCCGCGUGUGUGAAGAAGGCCUUCGGGUUGUAAAGCACUUUUGGCAGGGAAGAAACAGUGCGUGCUAAUACCAUGCGCGAAUGACGGUACCUGCAGAAUAAGCACCGGCUAACUACGUGCCAGCAGCCGCGGUAAUACGUAGGGUGCAAGCGUUAAUCGGAAUUACUGGGCGUAAAGCGUGCGCAGGCGGCUUUGUAAGACGGAUGUGAAAGCCCCGGGCUCAACCUGGGAAGUGCAUUCGUGACUGCAAGGGUAGAGUGUGUCAGAGGGAGGUGGAAUUCCGCGUGUAGCAGUGAAAUGCGUAGAGAUGCGGAGGAACACCGAUGGCGAAGGCAGCCUCCUGGGAUAACACUGACGCUCAGGCACGAAAGCGUGGGGAGCAAACAGGAUUAGAAACCCGGGUAGUCC
rnacentral:rRNA from 1 species